rnacentral:RNase_P_RNA from 1 species
GCAGGCGGCUGGAUGAUCGCUGCCGGGCCUCGCGCAAGCGGGUUCCGGGGGAGGAAAGUCCGAACUCCGCAGGGCAGUGUGCCGGAUAACGUCCGGGACGGAUGGUUCAAGCCAUUCGGACGGCCAGUGCAACAGAGAAUAUACCGCCUUCGCAAGCGCAAGCGAGCGGGGGUAAGGGUGAAAAGGUGCGGUAAGAGCGCACCGCGCAACCAGUAAUGGUGGCGGCAUGGUAAACCCCACACGGAGCAAGACCAAAUAGGCAGGGAUAUCGCCGCUUCUCUUCAGGCGGCGAUGGCGUAUCGGCCCGGUGCGCCAAGGCGGAGAGACCUCGCAAGAGGAGCCGAAACCCGCGGGUAGGUUGCUAAAGCGCCGUAGUAAUACGUCGCGUAGAGGAAUGAUCGUCUAGAACAGAAUUCGGCUUACGGGCCGUCUGCUAAC